CAGUGAUUUAACGUCUCAUCCGAAAGACAUUUCUGUGAAAUAGAUUCAUCAUAUAUUUCAAAGGGUCCACACAAUAUAUUGCAGCAUAUUCCAUUUUUGUAAAGGUGUAGGGACAUGGUCAGUUAAGAGUGAAAUGAUCCUAGAUUGACAAUUAUACAUUCAUAUUCUGCUUUAUUGAAUAGCAUGUGUGUAUGAAGACAAUGUACAUACAGUGUUAACAAAUUAUACAUAAGUUACUACUUACCACUUUUAAUCAUUCAGGUGUGCCAAAGACUGAGAUGGGAGAACAUCGUGAACCAAAUUUGGUUCGAAGAAUGAUGAGGGUAGAUGGUCAUUUAGUAAUUGUUCAUCUUUAUUCAGGAUAGGCAUUUAUGAGAGUCAUGGCACUUGUUUACAAAUGCACUUAAGAUCUGUUUAAAAUGUUUUGUUGCAGUAAUUGUCAGGAGUGUUAACAGGUCUUUUUUACCCAUCGUCUUAUCUACAAUCUCCAGUGGAAUAGUCCUGGUAACCAACUUAAAUCGUUAAUUUUCAACCAGGGGAGUUCAUUUUCCACAAAAGGUUUUUGCGUGUUUUGUUGCUAAUAUUUUUAACUGUAAAUACUAGUUACUCCCCAUCACCUCCCUUACAGGUGCAUCUCAAAAAAGUAUAAUAUCGUGGAAAUGUAAAUUUUUCCCGUAAUUUAAUUAAAAAAGUGAAACUUUCAUAUAUUCUAGAUUCAUUAAACAUAAAGUUAAAUAUUUCAAUCCUUUCUUUUGUUCCAGUAUCUCAAAAUAUAAUAAUAUUACAUAAGAACAAUCAAAAAAAGGAUUUAUAAUAAAGAAAUGUCGACCUUCUGAAAAGUAUGUUAAUUUAUGUAGUCAAUACUUGGUCGGACAAUCAUGGGGAAGACUGCUGACUUAAACAAAAGAAACAAGAUUAAAACAAAAAAAGGCUUGAAAUAUUUCACUUCACUUUUUGAAUUAAAUUACGAAAAAAAAAAAAAAAAAAACUUUUCCACGAUAUUCAAAUUUUUUUUAGAUGCACCUGUAAAUCCUGUAUCCUUUACUUACAGGAAGCCAGACCCCUGAGCCCAUAUUCGCUGUGCAUUUCUCCGUGGCAUGGCUCGCUCGCCACCAUGUGGACAAAUCUGAUAUUGCAAUUACCUCUGAGCCUGCCAGAUGCAACGGGACUCUUCGCCUUCAAUCUGGUCUUCAGCAAAUGAAAUGCAUGCUCACUUGGAUUGAGGUCAGGUGAUUGACUUGGCCAGUCAAGAAAAUUCCACUGUUUGGUCCAAAGAAACUCCUUGGUUGCAUUGGCUCUAUGUUUUGGACCACUGACCUGCUGCUCGAUGAAGCGUUGUCCAAUCUGUUCGAUUCAUCCUGCCACUGGAAUCAGCAGUGACAUCAUCAAUGAACACAAGCGAGCCAGUUCCAGUGGCAGCCAUACAUGCCCGAGCCAUAACCCUACCUCCGCCAUGUUUGUCAGAUGAGCUAAAAGCACUAGGGUUUCCUGAAGGAUGGUCAUACAGGCUUACUUCGCCUGUGAGAAGAACGAGAACCUGGCAGCAAACCUCCUUUUACAACAGAACUUUGAUGAUGAUUAAAGGGAGAUGUGGGAAUUUUGCCCCAUCCGGGCAACUUCGCUCCAAAAUGUAGGGGCAGAAGGUCAGUAUAAUGUCACUGAUUUAUAUGAGGAAUGUAGAGGAGUCUAUGUUUAUGCGAACUGGGGGGCUCCUAUGGUGGUUAAACAAUAAUGGUUUAGCUAACUAUGGAAGAAAUUGAAAAAUAAUGUGAAUUGGGGGAGCUAUCUCCUUAGUUAAACAAUAAUGGUUUGGUUAACCAAUAAUGGUUUAUUGCUCUCAUGGACCCAUUUACUGUUUGGAAGAGUGUCACCCCCUAAGCCCCCUUCCCCAGCAGAAUAAUAAAAUGGCAGGAUAAUG